rnacentral:rRNA from 1 species
GACGAACGCUGGCGGCGUGCCUAAUACAUGCAAGUAGAACGCUGAAGGAGGAGCUUGCUUCUCUGGAUGAGUUGCGAACGGGUGAGUAACGCGUAGGUAACCUGCCUGGUAGCGGGGGAUAACUAUUGGAAACGAUAGCUAAUACCGCAUAAGAGUAGAUGUUGCAUGACAUUUGCUUAAAAGGUGCAAUUGCAUCACUACCAGAUGGACCUGCGUUGUAUUAGCUAGUUGGUGAGGUAACGGCUCACCAAGGCAACGAUACAUAGCCGACCUGAGAGGGUGAUCGGCCACACUGGGACUGAGACACGGCCCAGACUCCUACGGGAGGCAGCAGUAGGGAAUCUUCGGCAAUGGACGGAAGUCUGACCGAGCAACGCCGCGUGAGUGAAGAAGGUUUUCGGAUCGUAAAGCUCUGUUGUAAGAGAAGAACGAGUGUGAGAGUGGAAAGUUCAUACUGUGACGGUAUCUUACCAGAAAGGGACGGCUAACUACGU